AACGAACGCUGGCGGCAUGCCUAACACAUGCAAGUCGAACGAGACCUUCGGGUCUAGUGUCGCACGGGUUCGUAACGCGUGGGAAACUGCCCCUAGGUUAGGCAUAACAUCACGAAAGGGGUGCUAAUACCGGAUAAUGUCUAUGGUCCAAAGAUUUAUCGCCUUCGGAGGUGCACGCGGUGGAUUAGAUUGUUGGUAGGGUAAAAGCCUAUCAAGGCGACGUUACAUAGCUGGUCUGAGAGGAACAUCCGCCACACUGGGACUGUGACACGGCCCAGACUCCUACGGGAGGCAGGAGUGGGUAAUAUUGGACAAUGGGCGAAGGCCUGAUGCAGCAAGGCCGGGUGAGUGAUGAAGGCCUUAGAGUUGUAAAGCGCUUUUACCCGGGAUGAUAAUGACAGUACCGGGAGAAUAAGCUCCGGCUAACUCCGUG
rnacentral:rRNA from 1 species